UUCCCCUUCGGGGGGGACAAAGUGACAGGUGGUGCAUGGUUGUCGUCAGCUCGUGUCGUGAGAUGUUGGGUUAAGUCCCGCAACGAGCGCAACCCUUAAGCUUAGUUGCCAUCAUUAAGUUGGGCACUCUAAGUUGACUGCCGGUGACAAACCGGAGGAAGGUGGGGAUGACGUCAAAUCAUCAUGCCCCUUAUGAUUUGGGCUACACACGUGCUACAAUGGACAAUACAAAGGGCAGCGAAACCGUGAGGUCAAGCAAAUCCCAUAAAGUUGUUCUCAGUUCGGAUUGUAGUCUGCAACUCGACUACAUGAAGCUGGAAUCGCUAGUAAUCGUAGAUCAGCAUGCUACGGUGAAUACGUUCUCGGGUCUUGUACACACCGCCCGUCACACCACGAGAGUUUGUAACACCCGAAGCCGGUGGAGUAACCUUUUAGGAGCUAGCCGUCGAAGGUGGGACAAAUGAUUGGGGUGAAGUCGUAACAAGGUAGCCGUAUCGGAAGGUGCGGCUGGAUCACCUCCUUU
rnacentral:rRNA from 1 species